GAUGAAGAACGUAUCGAAAUGCGAUAAGUAAUGUGAAUUGCAGAAUUCAGUGAAUCAUCGAAUCUUUGAACGCACCUUGCACCCUUUGGCAUUCUGAAGGGUAUGCUCGUUUGAGUGUCAUUGUACUCUCACACUCCCGAUCUUUGCAUUGGGAGCAGUGGACUUGGGUUUGCUGCUUCACCGUCGCUUACCUCAAAUAGGUUAGUGCAACUCUUGGUUGGACAUAGUACGGCGUGAUAAGUGUUCUUCGCCGGUGCCUCGCAAAGAGGGUGGCCGAUCGGGAUGUUGUGCUCCAAACCGUCUUCGGACAAUCUCUGACGACUUGACCUCAAAUCGAGUAAGACUACCCGCUGAACUUAAGCAUAUCAAUAAGCGGAGGA
rnacentral:misc_RNA from 1 species